UUGUUUUUGUUUUUCCUUGCGGGAAGGAGGGACAGCCAUUUUCCCCGUGGCUAAGUUUUCCCGGUGUUCGUGAUUUUUUUCGGAGUGGCCUACUUUUGUAGUUAAAACCUCCUUCCAGGGAGGGACUUAGGCCUUUUGCCUGGGGACCUCUCUGGAAGCCGGGUCCACGUCGGUUUGAAACAACUUUUCUCCGUCUCAAGUCAGAGGACGAACUGCGGGCUGGAACUUGCGGAGCUGUGGACUGCUGCGCGCGCAACGGAACAGAAACUCCGAAGGCAGAGACGGCUGUGCCUUCAAGCUGGGGCCCUGUUGGAGCCAGCGGUAGCCCUGGGCGGCGCGACAAGAAACCGUCCCGGGGAUUUUGGAGGACAAGAGGGUCCGACUCGCAAGAUACUUCAUUCGCCUGAACGACUUACCCCCACCCUGGCUUGAAAGGUCAUCAGCUGUCAACCUGAAGAAGGAAGAUGAAGAUGGCGCAACGUCAGGCUGCCUUUCGCUCCGUGCGCCCGCAGUUCGAGCCGGUUUACCGGCUCGUCUGCCCACUUCUGUUUUAACUGUGGCUGCCUGGGCAGCUGGACUGGGCUGACGAGUGAAGUCGCCCACCCCUGGGGGCGCAUGCGCCCCUGGCUAAUAAUAACCCGAGUACCCAACUUUUAAAUGCGGGCCGCAAGGCCCAAGCACCCAACUCCAGCAUGGUUGAUUUAUCAGCCCCUCCAACUCUUCUUACCUGGACCCUUCUUCCCUCUUGUCCAGUAGUUACCUGCUUGCUUAAUGCAUGAUAUUUGAUCCCCGCAUGACCCGGCCCAGGGUUUUCCCUGUGUCUAUGGAGGUUUUACCUGGGUCACAUUAGUUAGAUUUUAAGUUAGACGACCAAUGGGGCGUCAGUCAUGGCACCAAUCGCAGCCAUGACUGGCCAGUAAACCCCAUUAGCACAUGAUGCACGCGCCCUUGUCCUGCAUGGUUAAAAACCCACAUGGUAGAGUUUAUAGGCUUCGGCCUGAGACACACUUAGGCCCUCCCCUAACCUUGACCCUCCCCUUACACACUUAGAAUAAUUUAGGCUAGGAAAAAAAAUUUUUACCCUCCUCGAACCUUUGUACCAUGCCACCCCCCUUCCGAAAGGAAACUACUGCGGCAGGCUUCCUGCUGAAAGCGGUCCUACCAGCGCUUCUAAACCUAGCAACGCUUCUAAAACAGUGUGUCAACGAGUUCUUUUCUUAUAGCGCACAGUAUUGGGUCCCAAGAAGAUAGUGUAAAAAAAAAAUACAUACACCUAACUGCACGAGCCAAAGUAAAAUACUAUUCUGAAUAAAAUAUUUAUUUAAAAAAUACAAUGUGUGGAAACUGCCUGCUUGCCCUGACGAGACGCCACUGUUCCCCUGCCCUCCGCACGCCGGCGCUACUAGCUUGACGAGGCGAUCAGAGCCAUCUCGUGUCGGGCAGACAUACUAGCAGCCAACGUGCAGUGAAACAUUCUCAUGGCUGGGCCGCUUCUGUAAGUACUUAUAUUCACUGGUAGAACUACGAGAGGAACACGGUUGUAAGACACAUUUAUAUCCUUUAUUUGAAUGCAUUCUUCAGUUAUUCUCCCUUCUUUGAGUAAUGUUAUCACCAUUAAAAAUUCACAGAAAGAAAGAAGUUAUUAUUUAUUUUUCGCUCUUUACAGGUGAACCACUAAUAACUAAACUAUUUACAAACUUUGUCAUCUAUAAUAUAUUUUCAUAAGAAAUUCACAGAUUACAAAAUACAAUUUAAAAUUAUAAAUUAAAUAAUUUGUUGUACAAGUAAACAUUAUUUCCUUGUAAAAACAAACAAGUGUAAGUAAAAGUCAAAUAUUUGGUCGAGCACAGCAUUGAUAAUCUGAAUUAAAGUCUUUUAGAUACAGCGUUAAAAAUAUUCACCUUAAUUUUACGUAAAACAUCGGUUGAAAAUUAUCCAAGUAUAUUCGUAAGUUUUCAAAUGUCUUAUUUAAUCUUGUAAGAACUGACUGAAUUUAACAGCUUGAAGAAAAACAUACAAUAAUCUUCUUGGAGUAUUUAAAAGGCCUUAAAGUUUUUAAGUCUUCAGCCGACACAGUAUUCUUCGUUUACAAUAUAACUAAGAAGCGGUAGUCUGUUUUUCUGGAACUACGAAGAUCUCUAUUUGUCAGAGGUGUGUCGGUGGAAAGUUCGUAAUUAUACUGUGAAAUCAAUCUAAAGUAAAAAAAAAAAAAAAAAAAAAA